rnacentral:misc_RNA from 1 species
UCGCCUCAGCUGUCACCGACGGCGACGCGUUUCUUCGCGCAGCGCGCUGCGCCUUUAAAAACUCCCGGAGCCGGCCAGAGACCACGAGACAGAGCAGGCACAGAGUUCAUUCACCGCCGGCUCCUUCAUAGUUCAUUCCCGAGGCAGAGAUUUUUUUUGGGGGGUGAAGCACCGCGCAACUCCUUCUCAGUUCUCAGCGGCAGACAUGCAGCGGAACAACUCGUUCGGGACGUCGUGGGCGGACCAGUGGGACUACGGCGGCGACCCGAGCCCGAGGGCGCCGCGCGACGGCGGCGUGGGGGAGAAGACCAAGGCGGCCGCGGCCACCGGCAUGAGGAAGGUGAAAGAGGGCACGUCGCAGGGGUUCCAGUGGAUCAAGGACAAGUGCCAGCGGAAGAACGGCGGCGGCAACAAGAAGCAGCAGGGCUCCGAGGUCCCUGGGUACUGACCCCUCCUGUCCUCGUCACGUCAGUGCUGUUGCUUGGCAGACAGCAGAAUUUUCUAAAUUUUUUCUCGGUUCUUGCUGUUGGUACGAAUAGUAUACUGCGUAUAGGUUGUGAUCUGAUCUCGGUGCUGGUUGCAGUUGUAGAGUAGUUUCAUCGUACCUGAUAUGUCUCCUUGAUACUGAAUUGGUCACUUCGAUAUAUAUAAAAGGAUAUUUAUAAACUUGUAUGU